UUUAGGAUGAUAAAGACGCCUGGGCAGCUUUCUAAUGCUGUAUGCAAUGCCGUCCUGCAAACGUGUUUGGAUCUGCCUGCCGUCAAGACUCACCACUUCCCACCUGUACACUGCUGUCUGUCCUCAUUUCAAGUGAAUCACCUUGCGGUCUUCUUAUGCCAGCCUACGUGUGUUUUUAAAUCUAAAGUGGGUCUUUUGGGCCAGGCGCGGUGGCUCACGUCUGUAAUCCCAGCACUUUGGGAAGCCGAGGCAGGCAGAUCACCUGAGUUCAGGAGUUUGAGAACACCCUGGCCAACAUGGUGAAACCCGUCUCUACUAAGAAUAAAAAAUUAGCUGGGCAUGGUGGCGCAUGCCUGUAGUCCCAGCUACUCAGAAGGCCGAGACAGGAGAAUCGCUU
rnacentral:lncRNA from 10 species